AGCAGCCGCGGUAAUUCCAGCUCCAAUAGCGUAUAUUAAAGUUGUUGCAGUUAAAAAGUUCGUAGUUGAAUUUCGGGGUUAGUAGGUUGGUCAUGCCACUGGUAUGUACUGGUCUCACUGAUUCCUCCUUCCUGAUGAACCGUAAUGCCAUUAAUUUGGUGUUGCGGGGAGACUGGACUGUUACUUUGAAAAAAUUAGAGUGUUUAAAGCAGGCUAACGCUUGAAUACAUUAGCAUGGAAUAAUGAAAUAGGACGUUCGAUCCUAUUUUGUUGGUUUCUAGGAUUGACGUAAUGAUUAAUAGGGAUAGUUGGGGGCAUUAGUAUUCAAUUGUCAGAGGUGAAAUUCUUGGAUUUAUUGAAGACUAACUACUGCGAAAGCAUUUGCCAAGGAUGUUUUCAUUAAUCAAGAACGAAAGUUAGGGGAUCGAAGACGAUCAGAUACCGUCGUAGUCUUAACCAUAAACUAUGCCGACUAGGGAUCGGAUGAUGUUAAUUUUUAAUGACUCAUUCGGCGCCUUAC
rnacentral:rRNA from 1 species